GUAUCAAGGUAGCAUGGUUACGUGCAUAGAAAUUGAUUUGGGUCUGCAUGUUUGCCCUUAUUGAUCUCCUUAUUUUUUAUUUGUGGGCCUCGUUAUGACCUACGUUU
rfam:Citrus sinensis cultivar Ridge Pineapple sweet orange scaffold00046_contig_49, whole genome shotgun sequence.